rnacentral:rRNA from 1 species
UAAGGAAUAUUGGUCAAUGGACGCAAGUCUGAACCAGCCAUGCCGCGUGCAGGAUGACGGCCCUACGGGUUGUAAAGCUCUGUCUUCAGGGACGAUAAUGACGGUACCUGAGGAGGAAGCCACGGCUAACUACGUGCCAGCAGCCGCGGUAAUACGUAGGGGGCGAGCGUUGUUCGGAAUUACUGGGCGUAAAGGGCAUGUAGGCGGUCUGGUAAGCCUGGCGUGAAAGUCUGCAGCUUAACUGCAGGGGUGCGCUGGGAACUGUCAUAGAAACUGCAAGCCUAGAGUACGGAAGAGGUUGAUGGAAUAUCUGGUGUAGCAGUGAAAUGCGUAGAUAUCAGAUAGAACACCAAUGGCGAAGGCAGUCAACUGGUCCGUUACUGACGCUAAAGCACGAAAGUGUGGGGAGCGAACA